rnacentral:rRNA from 1 species
GAUUAAUGCUGGUGGUAUGCAUAACACAUGCAAGUCGAACGAAGAGGGUUUACUCUCUUAGUGGCAAACGGGCGAGUAACACAUAUUUAACUUACCUGCACGAGGAGAAUAGCAACUCGAAAGAGUUAUUAAUACUCCAUAGGUUUGAGACUCAAAUUAAAGGAGCGAGCUGGGAAACCAGUGCUUCGCGAGCAGAGAGGAGUAUGUCCUAUUAGGUUGUUGGUGGGGUAAAAGCCUACCAAGCCGAUGAUGGGUAGCUGGACUGAGAGGUCGACCAGCCGCAAUGGGAUUGAAAUACGGCCCAUAUUCCUACGGGAAGCAGCAGUGAGGAAUUUUUCACAAUGGACGAAAGUCUGAUGGAGCAAUACCAUGUGAACGAUGAAGGUCUUCUGAUUGUAAAGUUCUUUUAUUUAGGAAAAAAAGCUUGAGAGGAAAUGAUUAAGCCUUGAUUGUACUAAAUGAAUAAGUGACAGCUAACUAUGUGCCAGCAGCUGCGGUAAAACAUAGGUCACGAGCAUUA